rnacentral:lncRNA from 1 species
AUCGCAUGUUGAUCUUCACGUAUGGACCGCUGUUGAUCAGAUUCGGCAAGUAAGCUUCUUUUCGUCCUUGGUAAAAGAUCUCGUCUUACCAGCUUGCGAAAUCAAAACAUGCUAAUGCUCCAUGUUUGUGUAGAAGGCGAGCAAUGGCUCUAGUGUCCGCGAAAACUCCCGUGACAUUACUGCAAGCGGAGAAGGAGCCAAGCAUUGGACGAUCUGCGUGCUUGGGAUUUUGCAGCUCCUCUUCGAGGUACUUCAUGUCAAUCAAUCCAUCCUCAGUCAUUGGAACUUGAAUGACCUGUGGUUUAAACAGUUGACAGAUUGAAAGAAACGAAAAAGCCCAACCUCGGCAAGACUUUGCCUCCAG